GCUUCCAUAGCUCAGUUGGUAGAGCGCUUCCAUGGUAAGGAAGAGGUCAUCGGUUCAAUCCCGGUUGGAAGCU
rfam:Bacillus endophyticus strain Hbe603, complete genome.